CCAUUAUUACUCUUUUCAAUGUACUUCCCAUACAUCAUGGUAGUCUACUGGCUUCUGUUUUGAUUGUCCCUUGGAAAUGUCAGCUUUUAUAUGUAGAAGAGUCAUCUGACUGGAUUCCACAGCUGCUCCCUUUGAGUUUUCCAGCAAGUGCUCCACAUCUGCAGAUCUCAUCACUUUACUUCCAGGGCUUAACACACACGCACACAGGCACCCUCUGCAUAGUCAGGUUUAGUUUCUGCAACAGGAACCCUGCUUGCACUCAUUUAGAUGAAAAACAGGGGCAACCACUGCUUUCCUGUGACAACAUUUAAAUAGCCAUAGAGCAGAUGGUGCAAACGUGACCUGAAUUAAGAACAGCUUUACUCUUUUUUGUAUCUCUUUUUCUUGUUGGACAUUAAAGAAGAAAAUAAUUUAAACCAAGAAAAAAAAAAGGAGGGGGUGUUAGAAGCCACAGCAAAACAUUAUGUAAGCAGCACAAUAACCUAAGACUGCUCAGCAAAAGCAGCAGCAUUUGAUAGGUAUUCAGUCUAUUUCUGGGCUACUUUUUCCAUACUGCAUGAAGAUGUAUAAAGCAGGGGUUCUCAGACAGGGGGUCGGGACCCCUCAGGGGGCUGUGAGGUUAUUACGUGGGGGUUGCGAGCUGUCAGCCUCCACCCCAAACCCCGCUUUGCCUCCAGCAUUUAUAAUGGUGUUAAAUAUAUAAAAAGUGUUUUUAAUCUAUAAGGGGGUAUCACACUCAGAGGCUUGCUAUGUGAAAGGAGUCACCAGGACAAAAGUUUGAGAGUCACUGAUAUAAAGGAAAGUGGUCCCUCAUUUCUUGGAAUAGGUCUAACUACUUGAAAACCUAGAAGAAGAAGCUUAUGGCAAGGUUCUCAGAUUUCUCUUAACUACUUCCCUGGAAUAAUUUUUAUGGUAACCACUAGGCAACAAAGCAUAAGACUGCAAGGAUGUUAUUUGACUGUUCCAGCUAUGAUAAAACCUAUAGUAUGUCCUUACAGAUUGAUUGAUUCUAGAGAGGAGGAAAAAUUGUAGUAAGAAAGUUCAUGCUUCAUUUCAGCAUGUUAGUAUAACAGUGGGCUAAAUCCUGCUUGGUCCAAUUGGGCCAAAUCCUGUAAAAGUGAAUUAAGGUUUAUCUACACAGGCACACUCAGGAAAAUUAAUCCAAAUUAACUCUGGGUGUGAAUUUAAAAUGGAUUGGAUAAAUUGCAUUAAAUCGCUGUGUGGACACACUCAUUUGGAAUUUAAAUGGCCUUAAUUCAGUUAGCUUAGUUCACUUUCCUGAGUGUCCAAGUAUAAAGUCAUUUAUAUAAAAUGUCUUUUCCUCAGGCAAAAUCCAGGUCACUAAACUAAAGCAAAGGUUUAACCAAUUUAAACCUGGCUGAUCUUUAUUGAUAGAUGACUAGUCAUUGCAGAUUUAUAAAAUUAUAGCUACCUUUACAUAUAUUACAUAGCAUGUAGAUUCUCAUUAGCUGAGCCCAUCAAAUGGCUUAAUGAAGCAAAAGGCCUGAUUGCUGAGACACAGGUGAGACUCAGGACUAACACCACAUAGAUCACUACAAAGGCUCGAAGUCAAUAAAAGUUAAAUUGUCCUGUGCCA
ensembl:lncRNA